UCCAAAACCCACUGUGGUUUUGGAUGGCCAAAUAAAGUCAACAAAAAGUAUCACCUGUGAUGAAACUAAUCUACCCUGCGUUUCAGAUUCGGGGAACUUGAAGACAUGAUCUCAGCAGCAAGAACCACCUGUCAAUACAACUUUCCCUUGGAAAUGUAUCAAUGGUGAGAAGGGAAUGCCGUUCCAGUGACGACCAGGAGGCCGGUCAUCAACAGCACAUAUUUCUUUCCGCAGCAAAGCGACACCAAUAUGUGGUGAUAAUGGCAAGACUGCAAAAGCACAGUCCAAGCCUCUGGGCUUGAAACAGUCAAUGCUUGUUGGACACGGAUAUACACAAUACAGAAGUGCAGUCUCCAACAGUCUGUGCUUUGGUUUGACAGUGUUCCCAAGUUCUAGCAGUUUCCAGCCACACACAGGCUCAGGGCACUCCCCACAGGCAGCAUAGAAAACCCAAGGCUCCACGGGCUGGUCUGCCCCCACUGAGAAUGGCCCCAGCGCGCCCACAGCCCUGGCUCUGCCCCUCUGCUCUAGCAACCCCUCAAAGCUUGUGCCACUCUUGGAAUCUUCCAGACAUUUCUGGAAAACUCUGCCUUCCUUCCCCGCACCCUGUUAGACCCAUUCCUAAGUGUUUCUUUAAAAAACAAAAGCCAGUGCAAUGUCUGUGUUUUUUUUUUUUUUUUUGGUAUGACCUCAAUUAAGUGAUGAUGUACACUUUAGAAUGUUGCUCUUUCUAUUAAAAUGAAACAGCAGGUUUUUGGUAUUAAAAAAAAAAAGCAUCCUGCUAGAUUCUUUCCAGGAAUAUGGCCUGCUCUUUCUAAACAACCUGCAGUAUUGUAAUUGGUCUGGAUCAAUGUUUUAACACGGGAUCCGCAGAUUCAAAGAGUCUUCCCACAACUGUGUACAAAAUCGCGUCUGUGAAUGUGGCUUUUCUGGGACAGGGUCCACGUCCGUACGUGACUCUAAAAGGCAGCCGUGCCGCCACCACCUCCAAAGUUUAAGCGUCACUGGUCCAGCCAAAAAUUGUAACGCAAAUCUUCCGGGAGAUCCAGUUUAAUUAUUUUAAAUAUGUAAUCCACCCACAAGACGUGCCAUUUUACAUGGUAUUUUUGUUUGAGCAUAAGAGCAUAAGCAUAUUACAGAGUCUCAUUGCAAAGCACCGGACCGUGUGAGCCACACGGAAGGAAGAGGACAGGAUGAGAGGAGGUCUGUCCGCCCACCGUGGACGGACUGUGGACGGCGGGAAGAGCUGACCGCCCCUCGGCCGGCGACCCUGGCAGAGAACGCUCACGAGUUUUCCCCAGCCCUGCUCCUCACGCACUGCAUGCCUUUGCCUCCACUGAUCCCGUCGCAUAUUCAACACCGAGUGGGGUCACUGCGGAGCCAUCCCAAAAUUCUCUUCCUGUCUUCAAGGGCACUCCAUAAAGUCUAAAUAGUAACGGGAGGAAAUCCGUGGCGUCUUUCUGAGCCAGCACCCCCUGCCUCCAUCCUCUGAGGAUAAUGAACUUGGAAUGGGUUGAAACUCCUGCGUUACAGACUUUUGUCCCCAAGAUACUCAUCUUCAGAGGAGGAGUUCCCUAAACGAGGUACUUUCCGCCGGGACACAAAGUCAUGAGAUAAACACGCAGUUCGCGGAAAUCGCCUUUUCCCAGAAGAUACGCAGAGCUGAGCAACGGAAACCGGGCGAGGCAAAGGGAUGCGCCAAAGUCGCGUAGAUAAACCCAGACAGCACCGCAACCCUAACCCGAGUCUGCGUCUCCGAAGCCCCUGGGAAACCCAGGAGACGCUAGAGGCCGUGCCGAUUUGGCUCAGAGCUCGAGGCAACUCCGCAUAUCUUUGUCGGGGGAAACAGACUUCCUUGGUGUCCACAGAACCCGCCUGCUGCUGUUCUUUCAAAUAUGAAAAAAAGAGGUCAGAAAUGACGGCUUGAGACCCUUGGGCUGGGGCUUGGGGGCUAUCUGCCGUAGAUUCUGUGUCCUAAGGCAACAGAUUUAAUAAGAGAGGGCCAUUAAAUUUGUAUUCUCAUCUUUC